ensembl:lncRNA
UGACUGCAGAGUUUGAUGGCAGUGUUAUGUCAAAGCCCAACUGUGUACAUAUAUGCGAAGGCAGGGAAAUAAACUAGAGGUACAUACAUACCAGCAGGAUUUGCUGGCUUUAGGAACAUGAAGUAUGGAUCUUCCAAGUAAGAACAACACUUACACAAAAUACACUGUCACAGCAUUAAAAAAAAAAAACAAAACAUCAGGACUAACAAUUCAUUUCACUUGAACUAAGGAGCAGUUUGAAAUAAAAAGCACCAUCAUUUCCCAUGACUAUCAUACUUCCCAAACACCAGGAGACACUGAAAUGAAACUUCUUUCAUUCUGCAGAAAAAAACAUUACUCUGGAAGCAAUCAGUGGUCAGCAGAACAUAAUAGCAGCUGACAUUUCAGGUCAAUAUGAAAGCAGUUUGGAGCCAGCCAUUUUGGAAACACUCCAGUUUGUCACUGCGUUGCUAAUGAAGGCAAUGUUACAACAUGUUUUGUUUAAUAUAAAAAAGUCAGGAUUAGGAUCAUGGGAGAAUUAUUUCCCUUUUAACUUCACCCCCCUCCAACCCUCCUUCCAAAUGCAAUUGUUCUAUUUUUAAAUAAGCUCAUUUGCUCUUAUUGUUUUUGCAUCAAGUUGGCAGCUCACCCAUCUGUCUCCCACUGUGCUUAAAAAGAUGUCAUGAUCCUGCAGUCCCAAACACAGUCCUGAUGCUUCCAGUGAGCUAAAACACAUCUGCAAUGACAGCUUUCUCUUAGGAGUGAAGCUAUUUUUGUAACAGCAACAAACUCAACACAUCCAGGGUACGAGGAUAUUCACCAGUUAACAGCAGGGGAAAAAAAAAGCUUGUAUAGAGAGAUCCUUACCUUCACCACACACCUUGUUUGGGAGAAAUAUCACAUAAAGGUGGCUGACAAACAAGGCUACCUUUAGGACCACCCUUCACCCUCAGUCCUACUGCAAUCUCUGGAGCAGCCUCUCCACUCAAGAAUGGUCCUAUUUGUUUCUCAGAUGUAUCCCAGAAAUGUCAGAUUAAACACAGCUGGAGAAUUACUUUUUUACCCCACGUCAACUAGGAAAGAGGCAGACAGUGAGCAGGUAAUGGAACCAUGCACUGAAGGUAACUUGCCUCAGGAUUGCAAACCCAGUUCUUGCAAGUGACUGAUGGACAACCCAAAUUCCACUCAAAGGACUAACAAUGUUACAGACAAAAUUAAUCUGCCUAUUAUUCUGACUUUAUUAAUCUGACUUUGGUUGCAUAAUAGCAGUGAAAUCCAAGGGAAAGAUGCAGAAACGUACCACACCACCAAUCUAGAUCCCCGGUCAUUAACCCUGCUGCCUUAGGUUUUAGCAGUGUUGGUGAGGACUGGCACUCCUCCAGAAAAUCAGCACUGCUUUUACACAAGCACAAAUGUAGCAUGAGAAGUGAUAAGCUUUCAGACCUGGCACAAUGUCCAGACCAAUUUCUGAUCCUGGAUGUAUGCACAUUGGUUACUUCAGUAGGUUCUUCAUCUUGGGACGCAGUGAAAGAGCCUGAAGACUCCUCAACUUGGUGAAAAAUAGCGAUUGAGUCACUUUGUCACCCUUAGAGAUCUUCCUUGUGAAUCAUGUCAGAGUAGAUGCACGCUUCCCAUAAGUACGGCCUCAGGUACAUAAGGGUUUCCAGCAAAA